AUGAGGAAUCGACAAUGAUGGACCCGAAACCAAGCGAUCUUACCAUGACCAGGGUGAGUUUCCUCGAAAGAAGAAAGGAGGCCCGAACCCAAGAUUCGUGCAAUAAUCUGGGAUGAGUUGUGGUACGCAGUGAAAAGCUAAUCGAGCUUGGUAAUAGCUGGUUCUCUCCGAAAUAGUUUUAGGACUAGCGGCUUUGUGUAAGUUUUCCGGGGGUAGAGCUACUGGAUGGAGUUUCGUGGGCGUAUGCCCAGUCACUCUAACCAAACUCCGAAUACUGGAAAAUAAAGCAAGGCUAGUCAGACUGUGGGGGGAUAAGCUCCAUGGUCGAAAGGGAAACAGCCCAGACCCCAGGUUAAGGCCCUAAAUCUAAACUAAGUGUUAACAAGGAAGUGAAUUUCCACAGAUAGUCGGGAGGUUAGCUUAGAAGCAGCUAUCCUUCAAAAAGUGCGUAACAGCUUACCGAUUAAGGAAGUCCGCACCAUAAAUUCACGGGACUAAGUUUAGUGCCGAAACCAGGGGAGCUGCUUGAGUAAAAUCUUACAGCUCGGUAGGAGAGCGUUCUUCACACGCUGAAGCGGAGGUUGUAAGACCCCGUGGAGAGUGGAGAAGUGAGAAUGUUGGCAUGAGUAACCGCAAUUCCGGUGCAAGUCCGGAACGCCGAAAGCCCAAGGUUUCCUUGGCAAUGACAAUCAGCCAAGGGUUAGGCGGUCCUAAGGAAAAGUCGAAAGGCGUAUCCGAUGGACAGCUGGUUAAUAUUCCAGCCCUUCGUUUAGUUUUUCCUAAGAGGACGGAAGUUAGUAACCUAUGCGAAUUAUUGGAUUUUCGUUCCCUGCUUGAGGAGACAAGAGCCGGGAGGAAGCUACCGAAAGGUAGCGAACAUAGGCGAGCAACUUCCCUGGAAAAUUCUUUGGGAGCUAAGCUAAACGAAACCGUACCGCAAAACCGACACAGGUGGGCAGGUGUAAGACACCAAGGCGAAUGGGUGAAACCUCGUUAAGGAACUCGGCAAACAAGCGACCGUAACUUCGGGAUAAGGUCUGCCUUCUUUGUUGAAGGCCGCAGCGAAUGUUCCCCUGACGACUGUUUAUCAAAAACACAGGUCUCUGCUUAACUCGAAAGAGGAUGUAUAGGGACUGAAGCCUGACCAGUGCUGGAAGGUCAAGCUUGCCGGUCCGUCUUUGACGGGCUAAGUGAGUGAAGCCUCAGUAAACGUCGGCGGUAACUAUAACCGUCUUAAAGUAGCGUAAUCCCUUGCCGGGUAAGUUCCGGCCCGCACGAACGGCUUAACGAUUGGGGGGCUGUCUCGACGAGGCGCCCAGUGAAAAUGCAAUACCGGUAAAGAUGCCGGUUACCUGUGGAAAGACGAAAAGACCCCGGGAGCUUUACUGUAUCCAGAUAUUGGGUCCUGAGUCUAAAUGCAGAGCGUAGGUGGGAGACUUUGAAGCUCUACUUCCGGGUAGAGUGGAGUCGUCCAUGGAACACCACCCUUUUAGAUUCUUGAUUCUAACUUCCGCUAACCACGGAAGAACAGUGUCUGGUGGUCAGUUUGAGUGGGGCGCUCUUCUCCUAAAGAGUAACGGAGAAGUCCAAAGGUCAGCUAACUCCGGAUGGAAAUCGGA
rnacentral:rRNA from 1 species